GAUGUUGGUUGAUGAUGCACAACUUUUUUCCCCAUCUUAUCGACCGUGGCGAGACCAGCCUGAAACUUAAGCCAAUUACUCUGAAACCACAUC
ensembl:snoRNA small nucleolar SNORD12/SNORD106